rnacentral:misc_RNA from 1 species
AUUUUUUCGAACACUGAAUCAGCCAUGGCGGCUCUACAGUAUUUGGAAUCGCUACGCAAUGAUCAUCCAGAGCUUUCUGAUUGGUACACGACGCUUGCAGAUCUGUACCAACGCAAGCUCUGGCACCAGCUCUCUCUCAAGCUCGAACAGUUUGUCGCUCUCGCUGUUUUUCAGGCUGGUGACACGUUGAUACAGCUGUAUCACAAUUUCAUCACUGAUUUUGAGACAAAGAUCAAUCUUCUGAAGCUUGCACAUUUCGCUGUAAUCGUCUCUCGGCAAUAUUCGGAGAAAGAUGCUGGAAUAGGUUAUCUGGAAGGAGUAGCAGAGAAGCUCCAAAAUACUAAAGAGACACGGAUAGAGGAACCAAUACUUUAUAUUAAGUUGCAG